GGGCUUUUGUAAAUCAAAGCAAGAUUAUGUGACAUAAACUGAAUAAAGUUUUCAAACUUUUUAUCACUCGCUUAUUAAUGUAUGUUUUCGGUGACGUCAAACGCAUCGUGAGAUGGCUUGUUGCCGUGGUAACCGAUAGACAGAGGCGCUAACUCGGUAUUAGCAGUUAAAGUUAAGUCGUUAUGGCCGCUACACAAAAAGUCGAAAGUCUCUCGUCCAAAUUUCGGGAACUCAGAGGCUCAGAGGAGGAAGAGAGCAAAACAGUGACAAUGUUUGAAGUGUUACACGGGGGAACGAGAGAGAAAAUUGUCCUGCAGCGGUUGAUAGUGGCUGCUCCGCUCCCCAAAGAUCUUACAGACAGAACAGAAAUUGGAGCUCAUUAUGAAAAACUCAACUUUCAGUUGAGCAAACAGUACAUGUGGGAUAAUAUGACGGGCCUGCUGUUGAUUUAUCCAUCCUGUCUGCUGCAUGUCAUUGAAUCAUCCAGGGAGGUUCUGCUCUCAGUCUUGGUAGACCUUAAAGACAUGCAACAACAGCCUGACCGUUCCUCGCUGGAAGCUCCCAGGGUUGUGUACAUGGCUCAUAACCUUCAGAGCAGGCUGUUCCAACAGUGGAGCUACAAGGUUUUGAAUGCGGAUCAGGGGCCAGGGAUUGCUAAAGAUUUGCUGGAAGAAGAAGAGAGCACAGAGAUUCUGGUUUGCACCGUCCUGUCAGCACUGCAAAAACUGGGUGAUCAGCUUGAAACAUCUAAGAAGGCUCUUCCUGGACCAGUGCUGGAUGAGAAUCCAGAGCUGAUUGUCCCUCAGAAAGUUGUACAGAAGCUUUUGGCCCAAGAUGAUCUCAACACUCCAGUACAGCAGCUACAGAUGUACACCUCUCCACUGAACAUCAGCAUGGACUUUGGACAAGUUAUUCGAAGCAGAGUGCUCACCUCUGUCUAAUGUUUUGGACAAAAGUCAAAGGGCUGCAUGUUGUGAGCAUGGCCACUGUAUGUUGGAUGUGAUAGCAGCAUGGAUGCUUGUCAUCACAGAGAGUGUGUUUGGCCUUCUCUAAGGCACCUUGAUGUAACUGAAGGCUUCCCAGCAGAGAGAAAUCACUGCGACAGUUUUAUACCAACAUUUAAUAUACUGCAGAACUUUUCUGGGUUUUCAUUUUGUUGCUGUUUCUGUUCCAAAUGAUUUGAGUGAAAUAAAAUUGAACAGCAUUUACAACAAAAACACAGGAAAUCCAAGUAAUAUAAAAACAUUUUUUAAUAGUUUCAACAUUCGGAUGAGGUUAAUUUUAUUUUUUUAUCUUACUGUACACUGUGUUCCACUUGGUGAUCGGGAGAUAGCAUGUUCAUGAAAAGGCAUUUCGUCUUUUACUCCAAACUUUAAAGAGUCCACAGCAUCACCACAGUUUGACACAAAGAACUUUUAGGUUUUAAAAGAUUUGUUGAUCACUUUUGUGUUCCCUUUUUAUUUUGGCCCCCAUUACAUGGAACUUAAAACUAAGCCAAAAAACAAAAAGAUGACUGAAGUAUUUGCUGCAUGCACCACAUUGUAAUCUACAGACUGUAUGGGUAGAAGCAAACAUUUCUUUCUUCUUGUAUGAUUUUUGUUUGAAGUCACAGUAAAUUCUCCAAGAGAUUUUAGUCCUCGGAAGUUGCUAGAGUAUUCUGAGCACUUUUCUCCCAUCAUGUCAGCUGAAGAUUUUUGUCUUCCAAACAGCGGCCGGGUGUGCUUUGCUUAUUUGAUAUAGAUAAAAAGGGUGGAGCGUACGCAAAAGAUAAAUGGUGAAAACAAACAUUAAAUCAUGAGUAUUUCAAGCAAACUGUUGGCAGAAUCGAUGGAGAGUCUGACUAAAAAAGAUGAAGGACAGCACUGAAUGAUUCUUCUUUUAUAAAGGUCGAUCUAUUCACUUAUAAAAAAUAAAUACAAGCACAUUUAUAUAGGACCAAAGAUGAGACAUAUUUCAUAGGCAUGGUUAAAAAGCAUGCUGCUGACUUUCACACAGGACAAUGUCGAAUCAAAUGCCCCUCUUCCCUCCCUCCCUAAAACUGGUCAAAACACACUUUUUGUCAAGUACCCCUCCACCCUCUUUUACUUCAAACUAUGUCCACAACACACACGAUCUGCCUUUAUCACGACCUAUAAGGUGAACAUGGUCUAUCACCAGUACAUUCCACCUACUCAUGUAAUAAAAAAAGGCCUUCGUAUUUUAGUGCUCAAAGGGCAUGCUUGCAAAAGCUGUAACACUGGAAACUGUCUCUGGAAUCUCUGCUCGACAAGAUUAUUGUUAAUAAAGUUGUGUUUGAUGAA